rnacentral:rRNA from 1 species
AUUGAACGCUGGCGGCAGGCCUAACACAUGCAAGUCGGACGAAUGGCGGACGGGUGAGUAAUGUCUGGGAAACUGCCCGAUGGAGGGGGAUAACUACUGGAAACGGUAGCUAAUACCGCAUACCAUCGGAUGUGCCCAGAUGGGAUUAGCUAGUAGGUGGGGUAACGGCUCACCUAGGCGACGAUCACUAGCUGGUCUGAGAGGAGGACCAGCCACACUGUGACUGAGACCAGGGCCAGACUCCUACGGGAGGCAGCAGUGGGGAAUAUGGCACGAUGGGCGCAAGCCUGAUGCAGCCAUGCCGCGUGUAUGAAGAAGGCCUUCGGGUUGUAAAGUACUUUCAGUGGGGAGGCGUUACCCGCAGAAGAAGCACCGGCUAACUCCGUGCCAGCAGCCGCGGUAAUUC